rnacentral:tRNA from 1 species
GCCAGGGUGGCAGAACCCGGUUAUUGCGCCAGUCUUGAAAACUGGUUCCCGCAAGGGAUUCCGAGUUCAAAUCUCGGCCCUGGCU